GCGCCUGUAGCAUAGUGGUUAAUGCGCCGUGCUUAUAACGCGGAUAUCGUGAGUUCAAUCCUCACCAGGCGCA